GCAGGGUAGCUACGUUCGGAAAGGAUAACCGCUGAAAGCAUCUAAGCGGGAAGCCUGCCUCAAGACGAGUUCUCCCUGAAGGACCCAUGUAGACUACAUGGUUGAUAGGCUGGAUGUGCACAAGCAGCAAUGCUUUCAGCAGACCAGUACUAAUAGUCCGUUCGACUUGAUUUUUG
rnacentral:rRNA from 1 species